rnacentral:lncRNA from 1 species
AGAUUUUAGAAAUGGGUUUUGUACCGGAUUCAAAGUCGAUACAAAAUUUAAUAUCAGGCUUUGGGAGUAAGCCAAGAAAUUCUUUAGGAAAUACGUCAGGAAAAAUCAAUAACAACAGGAAUAUUAUUCAAAUCUGACGUGUCUUUAUUUAAAUCCAUAACAUGGACUAAGAAAACUUGACAUCCGUAAUAAACGAAUGACUUCGUGGCUUGAUAUAAAAAUG